rnacentral:ncRNA from 1 species
AUAUAAAUUUUUAUAGUUUAAGAAAUUUAUUUUAAAUUUAUUUUACAUAUAAAUUUUAGUGUUAAUUUAUUUUUAUUUUAAUAAUAAAAUUAUUUAUUUUGGUAGUAAUUAAUAUUAAAAAUAUAAGAAAUUAAGAUUUAGUAAUAUUUAAAUUAAUAACAAAUUUUGUGCCAGCAGUUGCGGUUACACAAAGAUUAAAUUAAAUUUUAUUAGUUAAAUUAAAUAAUAAAAUUUAAUUUAAUAAUUUAAAUUUUAAAUUAUUAGGUGAAAUUUUAAUUUAAUUAAAAAUUAUUAAAAAUUUAUGAAUUAAUAAAUUUUAUAAAAAACUAGGAUUAGAUACCCUAUUAUAAAAAUUUAAAUUUAUAUACUAAAAUAGUAGGUAAUUAUUUAUUGAAACUUAAAUAAUUUGGCGGUAUUUUAGUUCAUUUAGAGGAAUCUGUUUAAUAAUUGAUAAUCCACGAAUAAAUUUACUUAAUUUUUAAUUUUGUAUAUCGUUGUUAAAAAAAUAUUUUUCAAUAAAAAUAAUAUUUAAAAUUUUAAAAUAGAAAUUAAAUCAGAUCAAGAUGCAGAUUAUAAUUAAGAAUAUAAUGGAUUACAAUAAAUUUAUUUAAAUGAAUAUUAAUUUGAAAUAAUUAAUUGAAAGUGGAUUUAAAUGUAAUUUUAUUUAAUUUAAUAAAAUGAUUAAAAAUUGAAAUAUGUACAUAUUGCCCGUCGCUUUCAUAUGUUAAAAAAAAUUGAAAUAAGUCGUAACAAAGUAGAGGUACUGGAAAGUGUUUCUAGAAAGAC